rnacentral:rRNA from 1 species
GAUGAACGCUAGCGGCAGGCCUAAUACAUGCAAGUCGAACGGUAAGGCCCUUUCGGGGGUACACGAGUGGCGGACGGGUGCGUAACGCGUAUGCAACAUGCCUUCCAGCGGGGGAUAUACCAGGGAAACUUGGCGCAAUACCCCAUAGAAUUACGGGACCGCAUGGUCUUGUGAUUAAAACUCCGGUGCUGGGAGAUUGGCAUGCGUGACAUUAGCUAGUUGGCGGGGUAACGGCCCACCAAGGCGACGAUGUCUAGCUGGUCUGAGAGGAUGAUCAGCCAUAUUGGAACUGAGACACGGUCCAGACUCCUACGGGAGGCAGCAGUGGGGAAUCUUGCGCAAUGGGCGAAAGCCUGACGCAGCGACGCCGCGUGGGUGAUGAAGGCCUCGGUUG